CGCGUAGGCGGUUUUUUAAGUCAGAUGUGUAAUCCCCGAGCUUAACUUGGGAACUGCAUCUGAGACUGGAAGGCUAGAGUACUGGAGAGGGUGGUGGAAUUCCUCGUGUAGCGGUGAAAUGCGUAGAGAUGAGGAGGAACACCAGUGGCGAAGGCGGCCACCUGGACAGUAACUGACGCUGAGGCGCGAAAGUGUGGGUAGCAAACAGGAUUAGAUACCCUGGUAGUCCACGCUGUAAACGAUGAACACUUGGUGCGGAGGGAGUUGACCCCUUCCGUGCCGGAGCUAACGCGUUAAGUGUUCCGCCUGGGGAGUACGGUCGCAAGGCUGAA
rnacentral:rRNA from 1 species